rnacentral:rRNA from 1 species
UCGAGCGGAACGAGAUAUCUGAACCUUCGGGGAACGAUAUCGGCGUCGAGCGGCGGACGGGUGAGUAAUGCCUAGGAAAUUGCCCUGAUGUGGGGGAUAACCAUUGGAAACGAUGGCUAAUACCGCAUAAUCUCUUCGGAGCAAAGAGGGGGACCUUCGGGCCUCUCGCGUCAGGAUAUGCCUAGGUGGGAUUAGCUAGUUGGUGAGGUAAUGGCUCACCAAGGCGACGAUCCCUAGCUGGUCUGAGAGGAUGAUCAGCCACACUGGAACUGAGACACGGUCCAGACUCCUACGGGAGGCAGCAGUGGGGAAUAUUGCACAAUGGGCGCAAGCCUGAUGCAGCCAUGCCGCGUGUAUGAAGAAGGCCUUCGGGUUGUAAAGUACUUUCAGCAGUGAGGAAGGUUCAUGCGUUAAUAGCGUAUGAAUUUGACGUUAGCUGCAGAAGAAGCACCGGCUAACUCCGUGCCAGCAGCCGCGGUAAUACGGAGGGUGCGAGCGUUAAUCGGAAUUACUGGGCGUAAAGCGCAUGCAGGUGGUUUGUUAAGUCAGAUGUGAAAGCCCGGGGCUCAACCUCGGAAUUGCAUUUGAAACUGGCAGACUAGAGUACUGUAGAGGGGGGUAGAAUUUCAG